rnacentral:rRNA from 1 species
ACUGAAUGGGCUAGGGCAUACACCAAUGUACCAAACCCUAUCAAACUCCGAAUACUUAUAGCGUAACCACGGCAGUCAGGCGGCGAGUGAUAAAAUCCGUCGUCAAGAGGGAAACAACCCGGACUAACAGCUAAGGUCCCCAAAUCUCAUUUAAGUGGAAAACGAUGUGAAGUUACUGAAACAACCAGGAGGUUGGCUUAGAAGCAGCCAUCCUUUAAAGAUAGCGUAAUAGCUCACUGGUCUAGUGAUUUUGCGCGGAAAAUAUAACGGGGCUAAAAUGAGUACCGAAGCUUUAGACUUGCACUUAAUCAUUUAUACUUGGCUUGGCUUUUGAGCGUCUUUAAAUGAGCUCGUAAAAAUAAAUGCUCACGAACUAUAGUUCGCUCCGCUUUAUUUUUACGUCGUAACAUUUAAAUCCAUCUCAAAACAAGUGAAGCGCUUUUUGCGAAAGCAAAAAUGUUUCUUUGAAAAUCCUGCGCCAUCUUGAGUUCAAAUUUGAACUAAAUGUCUUAAUCUAAAAUUUUAUAAAUUUUAAAUUUCUUAGAAUUUUAAAAUUCAACGAAGUAUAAAGCAAAGAGACAAGCCUAAGAAAAGUAUAAAUCAUUAAGUGCAAGUGGUAGGAGAGCGUUCCAAUCAGCGUCGAAGCCGUACCGGUAAGGAGCGGUGGAGCGGUUGGAAGUGAGCAUGCAGGCAUGAGUAGCGAUAAAAUACGUGAGAAUCGUAUUCGCCGUAAACCCAAGGUUUCCUACGCGAUGCUCGUCAUCGUAGGGUUAGUCGGGUCCUAAGCAAAGUCCGAAAGGGGUAUGCGAUGGAAAAUCGGUUAAUAUUCCGAUACCGAUAUCAGUGUGCGACGGAAGGACGCUUAAAGUUAGUGGAGCUAGCGGAUGGAAGUGCUAGUCUAAGGAAGUAGGUUGAGUUAUAGGCAAAUCCGUAACUCUUUAUCCGAGAUCUGAAAGGCUUCUGACGCUCUUCGGAGUAGAUGAAGAAUCCAUGAUACUAUCGAGCCGAGAAAAGUUUCUAAGUUUAGCUGAUAUCGCCCGUACCGUAAACCGACACAGGUGGGUGGGAUGAGUAUUCUAAGGCGCGUGGAAGAACUCUCUUUAAGGAACUCUGCAAAAUAGCACCGUAUCUUCGGUAUAAGGUGUGCCUAGCUUCGUUAAGAAUUUACUUCGUAAGCGAAGAAGGUUACAACAAAGAGUCCCUCCCGACUGUUUACCAUAAACACAGCACUCUGCUAACUCGUAAGAGGAUGUAUAGGGUGUGACGCCUGCCCGGUGCUCGAAGGUUAAUUGAUGAUGUUAGCUUACGCAAAGCAUCUGAUCGAAGCCCGAGUAAACGGCGGCCGUAACUAUAACGGUCCUAAGGUAGCGAAAUUCCUUGUCGGUUAAAUACCGACCUGCAUGAAUGGCGUAACGAGAUGGGAGCUGUCUCAAAGAGGGAUCCAGUGAAAUUGUAGUGGAGGUGAAAAUUCCUCCUACCCGCGGCAAGACGGAAAGACCCCGUGGACCUUUACUAUAGCUUGACACUGCUACUUGGAUAAAGAUGCGCAGGAUAGGUGGGAGGCUUUGAGUCGUAGAUCUCGGUUUACGAUGAGCCAUUGUUGAGAUACCACUCUUCUUUAUUCGGGUAGCUAACUAGCCUAAGUUAUCCUUAGGUAGGACAAUGUCUGGUGGGUAGUUUGACUGGGGCGGUCGCCUCCCAAAAUGUAACGGAGGCUUACAAAGGUUGGCUCAAAGCGGUUGGAAAUCGCUUGUAGAGUAUAAAGGCAAAAGCCAGCUUAACUGCGAGACAUACACGUCGAGCAGAGACGAAAGUCGGUCUUAGUGAUCCGGUGGUUCUGUGUGGAAGGGCCAUCGCUCAAAGGAUAAAAGGUACCCCGGGGAUAACAGGCUGAUCUCCCCCAAGAGCUCACAUCGACGGGGAGGUUUGGCACCUCGAUGUCGGCUCAUCGCAUCCUGGGGCUGUAGUCGGUCCCAAGGGUUGGGCUGUUCGCCCAUUAAAGCGGUACGCGAGCUGGGUUCAGAACGUCGUGAGACAGUUCGGUCCCUAUCUGCCGUGGGCGUAAGAAGAUUGAGGAGAGUUGACCCUAGUACGAGAGGACCGGGUUGAACCGACCACUGGUGUACCGGUUGUUCUGCCAAGAGCACCGCCGGGUAGCUAAGUCGGGAUGCGAUAAGAGCUGAAAGCAUCUAAGCUCGAAGCCGACUCCAAGAUGAAUCUUCUUUUAAGAGCUCUAGUAGACUACUAGUUUGAUAGGCCGGAUGUGUAAUGGAUGAAAGUCCUUUAGCUGACCGGUACUAAUAGCUCGUUUGCUUAUCUUUU